AUGAACGCUGGCGGCAUGCUUUACACAUGCAAGUCGAACGGUAACAGGCCUUCGGGUGCUGACGAGUGGCGAACGGGUGAGUAAUGCAUCGGAACGUGCCCAGUCGUGGGGGAUAACUGCUCGAAAGAGCAGCUAAUACCGCAUACGAUCUGCGGAUGAAAGCGGGGGACCUUCGGGCCUCGCGCGAUUGGAGCGGCCGAUGUCAGAUUAGGUAGUUGGUGGGGUAAAGGCCUACCAAGCCGACGAUCUGUAGCUGGUCUGAGAGGACGACCAGCCACACUGGGACUGAGACACCGGCCCAGACUCCUACGGGAGGCAGCAGUGGGGAAUUUUGGACAAUGGGCGCAAGCCUGAUCCAGCAAUGCCGCGUGCGGGAAGAAGGCCUUCGGGUUGUAAACCGCUUUUGUACGGAACGAAAAGGCUCUGGCGAAUACCUGGGGCUGAUGACGGUACCGUAAGAAUAAGCACCGGCUAACUACGUGCCAGCAGNCCGCGGUAAU
rnacentral:rRNA from 1 species